AUUGAACGCUGGCGGCAGGCCUAACACAUGCAAGUCGAGCGGAUGAAGGGAGCUUGCUCCUGGAUUCAGCGGCGGACGGGUGAGUAAUGCCUAGGAAUCUGCCUGGUAGUGGGGGAUAACGUCCGGAAACGGGCGCUAAUACCGCAUACGUCCUGCGGGUGAAAGUGGGGGAUCUUCGGACCUCACGCUAUCAGAGGAGCCUAGGUCGGAUUAGCUAGUUGGUGGGGUAAAGGCCUACCAAGGCGACGAUCCGUAACUGGUCUGAGAGGAUGAUCAGUCACACUGGAACUGAGACACGGUCCAGACUCCUACGGGAGGCAGCAGUGGGGAAUAUUGGACAAUGGGCGAAAGCCUGAUCCAGCCAUGCCGCGUGUGUGAAGAAGGUCUUCAGAUUGUAAAGCACUUUAAGUUGGGAGGAAGCGCAGUAAGUUAAUACCUUGCUGUUUUGACGUUACCAACAGAAUAAGCACCGGCUAACUUCGUG
rnacentral:rRNA from 1 species